rnacentral:rRNA from 1 species
AAGGACGUGCUAAUCUGCGAUAAGCGUCGGUAAGGUGAUAUGAACCGUUAUAACCGGCGAUUUCCGAAUGGGGAAACCCAGUGUGUUUCGACACACUAUCAUUAACUGAAUCCAUAGGUUAAUGAGGCGAACCGGGGGAACUGAAACAUCUAAGUACCCCGAGGAAAAGAAAUCAACCGAGAUUCCCCCAGUAGCGGCGAGCGAACGGGGAGCAGCCCAGAGCCUGAAUCAGUGUGUGUGUUAGUGGAAGCGUCUGGAAAGGCGCGCGAUACAGGGUGACAGCCCCGUACACAAAAAUGCACAUGCUGUGAGCUCGAUGAGUAGGGCGGGACACGUGGUAUCCUGUCUGAAUAUGGGGGGACCAUCCUCCAAGGCUAAAUACUCCUGACUGACCGAUAGUGAACCAGUACCGUGAGGGAAAGGCGAAAAGAACCCCGGCGAGGGGAGUGAAAAAGAACCUGAAACCGUGUACGUACAAGCAGUGGGAGCACGCUUAGGCGUGUGACUGCGUACCUUUUGUAUAAUGGGUCAGCGACUUAUAUUCUGUAGCAAGGUUAACCGAAUAGGGGAGCCGAAGGGAAACCGAGUCUUAACUGGGCGUUAAGUUGCAGGGUAUAGACCCGAAACCCGGUGAUCUAGCCAUGGGCAGGUUGAAGGUUGGGUAACACUAACUGGAGGACCGAACCGACUAAUGUUGAAAAAUUAGCGGAUGACUUGUGGCUGGGGGUGAAAGGCCAAUCAAACCGGGAGAUAGCUGGUUCUCCCCGAAAGCUAUUUAGGUAGCGCCUCGUGAAUUCAUCUCCGGGGGUAGAGCACUGUUUCGGCAAGGGGGUCAUCCCGACUUACCAACCCGAUGCAAACUGCGAAUACCGGAGAAUGUUAUCACGGGAGACACACGGCGGGUGCUAACGUCCGUCGUGAAGAGGGAAACAACCCAGACCGCCAGCUAAGGUCCCAAAGUCAUGGUUAAGUGGGAAACGAUGUGGGAAGGCCCAGACAGCCAGGAUGUUGGCUUAGAAGCAGCCAUCAUUUAAAGAAAGCGUAAUAGCUCACUGGUCGAGUCGGCCUGCGCGGAAGAUGUAACGGGGCUAAACCAUGCACCGAAGCUGCGGCAGCGACGCUGAUGCGUUGUUGGGUAGGGGAGCGUUCUGUAAGCCUGCGAAGGUGUGCUGUGAGGCAUGCUGGAGGUAUCAGAAGUGCGAAUGCUGACAUAAGUAACGAUAAAGCGGGUGAAAAGCCCGCUCGCCGGAAGACCAAGGGUUCCUGUCCAACGUUAAUCGGGGCAGGGUGAGUCGACCCCUAAGGCGAGGCCGAAAGGCGUAGUCGAUGGGAAACAGGUUAAUAUUCCUGUACUUGGUGUUACUGCGAAGGGGGGACGGAGAAGGCUAUGUUGGCCGGGCGACGGUUGUCCCGGUUUAAGCGUGUAGGCUGGUUUUCCAGGCAAAUCCGGAAAAUCAAGGCUGAGGCGUGAUGACGAGGCACUACGGUGCUGAAGCAACAAAUGCCCUGCUUCCAGGAAAAGCCUCUAAGCAUCAGGUAACAUCAAAUCGUACCCCAAACCGACACAGGUGGUCAGGUAGAGAAUACCAAGGCGCUUGAGAGAACUCGGGUGAAGGAACUAGGCAAAAUGGUGCCGUAACUUCGGGAGAAGGCACGCUGAUAUGUAGGUGAGGUCCCUCGCGGAUGGAGCUGAAAUCAGUCGAAGAUACCAGCUGGCUGCAACUGUUUAUUAAAAACACAGCACUGUGCAAACACGAAAGUGGACGUAUACGGUGUGACGCCUGCCCGGUGCCGGAAGGUUAAUUGAUGGGGUUAGCGCAAGCGAAGCUCUUGAUCGAAGCCCCGGUAAACGGCGGCCGUAACUAUAACGGUCCUAAGGUAGCGAAAUUCCUUGUCGGGUAAGUUCCGACCUGCACGAAUGGCGUAAUGAUGGCCAGGCUGUCUCCACCCGAGACUCAGUGAAAUUGAACUCGCUGUGAAGAUGCAGUGUACCCGCGGCAAGACGGAAAGACCCCGUGAACCUUUACUAUAGCUUGACACUGAACAUUGAGCCUUGAUGUGUAGGAUAGGUGGGAGGCUUAGAAGUGUGGACGCCAGUCUGCAUGGAGCCGACCUUGAAAUACCACCCUUUAAUGUUUGAUGUUCUAACGUUGACCCGUAAUCCGGGUUGCGGACAGUGUCUGGUGGGUAGUUUGACUGGGGCGGUCUCCUCCUAAAGAGUAACGGAGGAGCACGAAGGUUGGCUAAUCCUGGUCGGACAUCAGGAGGUUAGUGCAAUGGCAUAAGCCAGCUUGACUGCGAGCGUGACGGCGCGAGCAGGUGCGAAAGCAGGUCAUAGUGAUCCGGUGGUUCUGAAUGGAAGGGCCAUCGCUCAACGGAUAAAAGGUACUCCGGGGAUAACAGGCUGAUACCGCCCAAGAGUUCAUAUCGACGGCGGUGUUUGGCACCUCGAUGUCGGCUCAUCACAUCCUGGGGCUGAAGUAGGUCCCAAGGGUAUGGCUGUUCGCCAUUUAAAGUGGUACGCGAGCUGGGUUUAGAACGUCGUGAGACAGUUCGGUCCCUAUCUGCCGUGGGCGCUGGAGAACUGAGGGGGGCUGCUCCUAGUACGAGAGGACCGGAGUGGACGCAUCACUGGUGUUCGGGUUGUCAUGCCAAUGGCACUGCCCGGUAGCUAAAUGCGGAAGAGAUAAGUGCUGAAAGCAUCUAAGCACGAAACUUGCCCCGAGAUGAGUUCUCCCUGACUCCUUGAGAGUCCUGAAGGAACGUUGAAGACGACGACGUUGAUAGGCCGGGUGUGUAAGCGCAGCGAUGCGUUGAGCUAACCGGUACUAAUGAACCGUGAGGCUUAACCUU